GUACAGCCAACCCUGGCAGUCAGCGUGGCCCAGAUCUUUGCAGGAUAUCCUCCUCCGACUCAUGGUGAAAAAUCCUGCAACAGUUAUACGAACAGGUCAGCGGCAGCACAAAUCAUGGACUGGACUUCCACAUAGUUUCUGGUGACAGCAUAGACCACGGACAUCCACAUGACCUCCACUAUCAGCACGGACUGUGGACCUCAGCAUGGUCUGUGGCAGCAGUACAGACCAAAGACAUCAAUAUGGAUGUCGGCCACAGCAAGAUCCAUGGACACCAUCACAGCCCUUAGCACUAGUACAGGCCACAGACAUCAACAUGGACUUGGGUGACAAUACAGGCCACCACCACCACCUCCCAAAAAGGAAACAGUCUAGACAAGAAGCCAUUAAAGAAAACUCUUAAAAAUUGUGA